GGCUCCUUCGAGUGGACAACAUCCCCAAGCAAAGCAAUAGUUUGCAUACUCAUAGAUACAGCAGCAGGUGUUGCUCUCAGGGCAGGAGUAGUGGUUGUCACAAACUGACGGGGGCUUUACCGGAGACGGAGGAGAAGGGCCAGGGUUAGGGGGAUUCUGGCCUUUCUUGAUGGGGUAAGAAGGCUCCAUGGCAAUUCCACAUAUCCCAUUGGCGGUGUUGCCCAGAUUACGCUGCAUCCUGAUGUAUCCCUCCUCUCCCCAGCUUCCACCCCAUGAGUUUCUCACUAUCCAGUAAUCAAGUCCGUCGUCCGUGCCAUAUCCCACAACU
rnacentral:lncRNA from 1 species